rnacentral:tRNA from 1 species
CAGAGGAUAGUUUAAUUAAAAUAUUAAUUUUGGAGAUUAAUGAUAAAAGUUAUGUUUUUCCUCUGA